AACGAACGCUGGCAGCAUGCCUAACACAUGCAAGUCGAACGAGACCUUCGGGUCUAGUGGCGCACGGGUGCGUAACGCGUGGGAACCUGCCCUUAGGUUCGGAAUAACUCCCCGAAAGGGGUGCUAAUACCGGAUAAUGUCUUCGGACCAAAGAUUUAUCGCCUUUGGAUGGGCCCGCGUUGGAUUAGCUAGUUGGUAGGGUAAAAGCCUACCAAGGCGACGAUCCAUAGCUGGUCUGAGAGGAUGAUCAGCCACACUGGGACUGAGACACGGCCCAGACUCCUACGGGAGGCAGCUGUGGGGAAUAUUGGACAAUGGGCGAAAGCCUGAUCCAGCAAUGCCGCGUGAGUGAUGAAGGCCUUAGGGUUGUAAAGCUCUUUUACCCGGGAUGAUAAUGACAGUACCGGGAGAAUAAGCUCCGGCUAACUCCGUG
rnacentral:rRNA from 1 species